rnacentral:rRNA from 1 species
ACGCACGUGUGAAACUUGAAGGAAUUGACGGAAGGGCACCACAAGAACGCGUGGAGCAUGUGGCUUAAUUUGACCCAACGCGGGAAAUCUUACCGGGUCCGGACACACUGAGGAUUGACAGGCACUAUUAAAAAUGGAGUCUCGCAUUUAUUUGCGUGUUCUUCUUUUUAUGUCAAAUAUGCUAGUCCUUUCAUGAUUAUGUGAUAGGUGGUGCAUGGCCGUUCUUAGUUCGUGGAGUGAUCUGUCUGCUUAAUUGCGUUUCACAGAGGAUUCAGUAUCCGCGUUUCGUGUACCUGUUACCUUAUGAGAUCCCUUUCAUUUGCUAUUACUUCUGCGCUUCGGCAAAGAGUGUAGCUGAGAGUGUGUGUCUCUGGUUUCUUGGAUUACCGUUACGC